rnacentral:SRP_RNA from 2 species
GCUGGGCGUGGUGGUGCACGCCUGUAGUCCCAGCUACUCCGGAGGCUGAGGCAGAAGAAUCGCUUGAACCCAGGAGGUGGAGGUUGCUGUGAGCCGAGAACAUGCCACUCCAGCCUGGGCAAAAGAGCGAAAUUCUGUCUCAA